UACUUGAUUUAUGGUUUCGGCCGUCAUGAUGGUGGCGGACGGGUGAGUAACGCGUAAAGAAUCUGCCCUUUAGACUGGGAUAACAGUUGGAAACGACUGCUAAUACCGGAUAUUAUGGAACCAUCGCAUGAUGGAAUCAUGAAAGCUAUAUGCGCUAGAGGAGGACUUUGCGUCCCAUUAGCUAGUUGGUGAGGUAACGGCUCACCAAGGCGACGAUGGGUAGCCGGCCUGAGAGGGUGAUCGGCCACAAGGGAACUGAGUCACGGUCCUUACUCCUACGGGAGGCAGCAGUGGGGAAUAUUGGACAAUGGGCCACAAGCCUGAUCCAGCAAUUCUGUGUGCACGAUGAAGGUCUUCGGAUUGUAAAGUGCUUUCAGUAGGGAAGAAUAAAUGACGGUACCUACAGAAGAAGCGACGGCUAAAUAUGUGCCAGCAGCCGCGGUAAUACAUAUGUCGCAAGCGUUAUCCGGAUUUAUUGGGCGUAAAGCGCGUCUAGGCGGUUUACUAAGUCUGAUGUG
rnacentral:rRNA from 1 species